rnacentral:rRNA from 1 species
UACGUAGGGUGCAAGCGUUAUCCGGAAUUAUUGGGCGUAAAGAGCUCGUAGGCGGUUUGUCGCGUCUGCUGUGAAAACUGGAGGCUCAACCUCCAGCCUGCAGUGGAUACGGGCAGGCUAGAGGUAGGUAGGGGAGAAUGGAAUUCCCGGUGUAGCGGUGAAAUGCGCAGAUAUCGGGAGGAACACCGGUGGCGAAGGCGGUUCUCUGGGCCUUACCUGACGCUGAGGAGCGAAAGCGUGGGGAGCGAACAGG